GACGAACGCUGGCGGCGUGCUUAACACAUGCAAGUCGAACGGAAAGGCCCUGCUUUUGUGGGGUGCUCGAGUGGCGAACGGGUGAGUAACACGUGAGUAACCUGCCCUUGACUUUGGGAUAACUUCAGGAAACUGGGGCUAAUACCGGAUAGGAGCUCCUGCUGCAUGGUGGGGGUUGGAAAGUUUCGGCGGUUGGGGAUGGACUCGCGGCUUAUCAGCUUGUUGGUGGGGUAGUGGCUUACCAAGGCUUUGACGGGUAGCCGGCCUGAGAGGGUGACCGGCCACAUUGGGACUGAGAUACGGCCCAGACUCCUACGGGAGGCAGCAGUGGGGAAUAUUGCACAAUGGGCGGAAGCCUGAUGCAGCAACGCCGCGUGCGGGAUGACGGCCUUCGGGUUGUAAACCGCUUUCGCCUGUGACGAAGCGUGAGUGACGGUAAUGGGUAAAGAAGCACCGGCUAACUACGUGCCAGCAGCCGCGGUGAUACGUAGGGUGCGAGCGUUGUCCGGAUUUAUUGGGCGUAAAGGGCUCGUAGGUGGUUGAUCGCGUCGGAAGUGUAAUCUUGGGGCUUAACCCUGAGCGUGCUUUCGAUACGGGUUGACUUGAGGAAGGUAGGGGAGAAUGGAAUUCCUGGUGGAGCGGUGGAAUGCGCAGAUAUCAGGAGGAACACCAGUGGCGAAGGCGGUUCUCUGGGCCUUUCCUGACGCUGAGGAGCGAAAGCGUGGGGAGCGAACAGGCUUAGAUACCCUGGUAGUCCACGCUGUAAACGGUGGGUACUAGGUGUGGGGUCCAUUCCACGGGUUCCGUGCCGUAGCUAACGCUUUAAGUACCCCGCCUGGGGAGUACGGCCGCAAGGCUAAAACUCAAAGGAAUUGACGGGGCCCCGCACAAGCGGCGGAGCAUGCGGAUUAAUUCGAUGCAACGCGUAGAACCUUACCUGGGUUUGACAUGGAUCGGGAGUGCUCAGAGAUGGGUGUGCCUCUUUUGGGGUCGGUUCACAGGUGGUGCAUGGCUGUCGUCAGCUCGUGUCGUGAGAUGUUGGGUUAAGUCCCGCAACGAGCGCAACCCUUGUUCACUGUUGCCAGCACGUUAUGGUGGGGACUCAGUGGAGACCGCCGGGGUCAACUCGGAGGAAGGUGGGGAUGACGUCAAGUCAUCAUGCCCCUUAUGUCCAGGGCUUCACGCAUGCUACAAUGGCUGGUACAGAGAGUGGCGAGCCUGUGAGGGUGAGCGAAUCUCGGAAAGCCGGUCUCAGUCCGGAUUGGGGUCUGCAACUCGACCUCAUGAAGUCGGAGUCGCUAGUAAUCGCAGAUCAGCAACGCUGCGGUGAAUACGUUCCCGGG
rnacentral:rRNA from 1 species